AAGAAAGGAGACUUUGCCUGUACAUUGUGGUUUUCAUUACUUCAUAGCUUUUCACAGCUAAAGAGAUAUUUGCUUCUCUAAUUCUCAGGGCUAAGGAUUUACUUCAUGGGCCAUAUGCAAAUAUCACCAGUCUACUUCUUACCCAGGCUGGAAGGGGAUACAGAUAGGUUGCUGAUGUGCAACAGAGUUCAUUCAUGAAUGCUUAACUGAGUCCAAAGCCCCACAAAGAGAUUCAGCUCAGCAGAGGUUAUUGAUGCAGCUGUCAAGAGGAUUCCUUGAAUAUACUUAAUGACCUGCCUUCAACAGCUCUCUGCGGUAAAAGAAAAUUCCACAGAUGCUGGAUGUUAUUGAUUGCUUCACGUAUGUAAAUUUCAUAAUCAUCAGCAAUAAUCUCUCAGUUAAUGCUGAAAUCAACACACACUUCACAAAAACCUCACCUGUUAUUUCCAACCUGAAUGAGAGAGUGUGCAACACUGGAAACCUGACCAAGAACAUCAACUGGGAGUCUUACCAAACCUCAGUGCAGGCCUUUAUAAUGCAGAACAAGGUCACUAACUCAGAGGUCCUGGAACUAAUUCUAUCAAUAUGUUCUCAUUGCUAAGCAAACAACAUCUGCCCUAGCUGGCCAUGGUCAUUAGAUGGAUGAUAGUUUUUGGGUACCAUUACAACCAUCUGUACAAUGUACAGGCCAUAGUCAUCCUUACCUCAUCUACAAGGACAUAUGCAAGCAAAAUUAUGAAGGUGACAGACUUAGACAUUAACAACUGGGAGAAAAUUACUGACAGCAAUGGCUUCUGGAGGUUGACUGUUUGGAAGGGUAUUAAAGAAGACUUAACCUAACUUCCUUAGGCACUGUAAAAUUCCAGCCAGCUCUUUGAGAUGAAAUGGAUCAAUAUCUUCUCUCCACAUUUUAAGAAGCAGGUUGAUGAUUUUUAUCUUCUAGAAUUGUUUGUUUUAAUUGUAUGAUUUUGCCAUUGUCAAAGUGCAUCUCCUAUAUCUAAUUGCUGAUCACAAACUAAAACCUCUUUCACUGUGCCUAACCCUAACCCCGACCCUAACCCAAACUUAUUUUAAUAAUGAAAAAAACUGAUUGUUAAUGGUUUUGUUAGGAAGUUGAGGAUAUACAUUUUGUGAAUAUACCAUGUGGGUAUAUAUUAUGUAAAACUGUGCCAAAUUUUGGUCCCAACAUUACACUAACAUUGAGCUUCUUGCACUAAAAUUAAUGAAGGAGGAAAACACCUUACAUAUGUUCAGAAAUUCAAAAUCUUGUAAUCUUUAAGGUAUUUCAAAAAAUUUAGUUUGGCUCAUGUCACUAAAAUGAAUGC